rnacentral:tRNA from 1 species
GCGCCCGUAGCUCAGUUGGAUAGAGUAUCUGGCUACGAACCAGGAGGUCGGAGGUUCGAAUCCUUCCGGGCGCG